AUCUAGGGAAAAAUGAGAGAAGCACGUAAGUACUCCACCAGUUCCAGAGUGUUAACAAACAGGGAACUGCAUCAGGCAGGGGCUCCUUCAAAGUAUUAUGGUGGAAAGAACAAAAACACUGUUCCGCCUUUCCAAUGAAGCCAGUUGCUCAUGGCACUAUGUACAGACAAACUUCACUGGCAACUUUUUCAAGACCUGGUAAUAAGUCCAUGGCUGUGAAGGAGGUCCCAGAUGCCUUCUCCUUCUGUCCAGGGUCUCUCUGCCAGAAGACACAGGAUGAUGUGCCCCUCUCAGGGAGCUUGACAGUGUCUUGCAGCAGGGGAUGAUGCAGCCCCUCCUGACUGCAGGUAAUCAAGGCAACCUGCAUCACCUCCUCUUUCUAACCAUCUUACCACAACAUCAGCAAAGCCCCUUGGUACAGAGUCUGUCCUAAGCAAUGCUGGGAAGCCAACAGCACCCCUAAUUCUGAGUUGUUCUGCCAGUGACAGAUUCAACCCCCACCAGAGCCAGAGGGUUGGGACAACUAAGAACUACCAUUACUGACACCCAGGAGGCUGCAGGUAAAGGAGAGCCAGGUAAGGGCUGGGUGGACAGGGAAGCCCUGCCCCAGCAUUGCCCCAGUGCUCACCACCUCCAGCACAAGUGUAGAAGGAGUAAAGGAGCCCACAGCAGAGAGCUCUGGGGUGAUCUGGACUCACAAGGUCAAUACAAACUUUCACAUGGACAGAGUUAUUAGGUUUAAAGCCUCAUUGGGUAUCACAGAAAGGGUGUUAUUUAUAACCACUCUGGCUUUUCUAUGCCAAUAACUCAGCACAACAACCACAUCCUGUAACUAGACAGAAACACCCAUUAUGUAUUUUGGCACAUUUAUUUCCUUAUCUGUUUGAGUGUUUAAUGUUGGUUUUUUGUUGGGGUUUUUUUUUUUUUUUUUUAGCAUCAUUUUGGUGACAAGGAAAAUGUUCAUAUGCUACUACCCUUUUAUUUGUCUUUUUUUCUAGAUGAAACAAUUGUUUUAAUCCCACAUACAGAUUUUUCAAGUUCCUAAAUCUAUCACUCACAACCACAACAUUCUCUGAGAGGAGGGCCCAGUGUAAACAGAGCUCCAGAUGAGGCCACAAAGAUUUAUGCACAGACAUUUUCUUUGUCCUCUUCAUCCAAACCCAGAAGAUGAAACUUGCUGGCAUCCCCUGGUGUUCCUGCAACUGCUGUGUUACACAUAACACCCUGCCUUCAUCUGUAUUUCCACUGUCAUACACACCUUUUAAACUGAAAAUAAGGGUCUUGCAGCUUUCAAGUGCUGCUUUUUGUUCUGCAGAUAGAAAAGCCUGAUUUAACAGUCAGACUCUGCACUGGCUCAGAAAUAAACUAAGCCAACAGACGUCAGGGUGCAAGCUUCAUUAAUCGACCUGCAAAGAGGAUUUUGUUUCCACUUCUUUGAAGUGAAGUGCCAUCCCCAGUGGAGGCCCUGAAUUUGCUGUGAUUAUGCAGUUGAUUGUUCUUUUAAUGAGGCAGUAGAAAAAGAAAAAAGUAUUGCAGUUCUAGGGAAUACAUCUAAUUUCAAAUGGAUACCAGGGCUCAACCAGAACCUGAUGACUUUUUUACAGCUUCUCUCAGUCCAGGAGCAACCUCUGCAUUUCACACCAGACUAUUCUAUUCAUGACAAGUCCAUCCUUGAAUUAACCUUGGGCAAGUUGCCCUUUGCCAUUGUCCAUGCUCAAGGUCUGAGCCACUUCAAACCUUUGGCUUUCUGACAAGCACCUUCUGCUGCCAUUUCUGUCACCUCACAUCCACAGGCCAAAAGCUCAAGCACUCAGGAAUGUCCACAGACGAGGAAGAAACUGGGACCAGAAAAACUACAAGACAGUUAUCUUCCUUGAGGAAACAGAGGCAAGGAAUAUCUGGCUAAGUACUGACAAAUCGGAUCCCUCAGACUUAUCCAACUCCUCCAUGCAUGCCUAUACCAGUGUUUGUGCUCCAGGAGUGAUUACAUCUUCAAACAGGGAGCUGUGACCAGGCCUGCACUUGGGAUGCAGACAGCAGUGCUGGAGACUGCUUCACCAGAAAUUCAGGACUUGACUUUCUGUCUGUGUUCUCUCCAAGCAGGUGGGUCACUUAUUUGUUUUUAAGCACAUCACCUUCCCCUCCUCACCCCUCUUCAAUUUCACACUUCCUUUUUCUCCCUAAGUAAAUGUAAAAUUUCUGCAAAAGCAAUACAGACUGCAAUUCUGUUUAGGUGGGCUCCAUGGGAUCAUGUGCAUUUGUCUUCCCUUUACCCUUCCUCUAGUACUAAAUGGUUUGAUUCAACCUUAGAGCACUUAGUUAAGUUUGCUUCCAUCCGGAAGUAAGCACUGGUAUCUAAUCUGGAAUACACCCAUAGCAAAAUGAAGGUGAGGAGGUGGAGCCAGCAGUCAGUUCUCUGCUAUGUAAUUAAACAAAUCUGGGCAGGACGAGUUUGCAGCUUAAGGCUCAGAACCCCACCCUGGGCAAUGAGGCAACAGGAAUAGAGCAAGCAGCCCUGGAGAGGCUGGAAGCUGGGAAUGGGUCUAACUGGCUGCUUCACCGCCAGGAACAGGACAUGGCUCCAGCCCAUGAUGCCAAACAGCACCUUUGUUACUUACCAUGCAUUCUGUAACCUUGAAAAGGCUUUAGUUUUGACAGGUGUGGGAAACUGUCUGACAGCACAGGUAUGGAUGGCUUCAAUGCCUUCACCAAAUGAUAAAAGCAUCACGUGAUUGUUCCACAAGGCUCUCAUUGAAGAGAUAUGUCAGAAUUUUAUCCCAGAAGAUACAAGAGUUGCCAUUUCUUCCUCUCCUGCCUCACUGGAGCUGUGCCAUUGCACCAAGGUUCACAUCAGCUGAGACAGGAAUGCAAUUACUGCUACAAGUAUUAAGGAAGCUAACCUUUGCCAGUCACCACAACCAAAGGAAAGGAGUAUGCCAUGCUCCUCUAUCUUUUAUAGAUUAGAAACAACUAAUCUUCUCCUAGAUUAUUCUUAUUACAGAAUAGCAAACCAUGGUAAUCAAGUUUCACGGAGGAAUGGUAACAGCCGUACCUGACGUGCUUCCUCUUGCUGCCCAGCCACCAUUUUCAGAGCUGCAGAACCCUACUCUGAUUAUACAGACCAGACAUUAUGAUUCUUCACUUCCCAGUUUUGGCUGUACAGAAUAAAUUAAUCUGCCUCCCACAGCCAUCCUCCAGGGACUACAGGCAGCACCUGGAUGCAGAGUUCAGCCCUGAUGCUCUGCAGCACAGCAACUGCAGAAAGAGCUCACAAAUCACUGCUCCACGGACUCUUGGUUUUAGGGGGGGUGUAGGAGGAUCAGGUCACAACAGGUAACCAGCAUGGUUUCAAUUGAUGUGGCAUCUGUUUUACAGCUAAAUGAAAGCCAAUACCUUCAUGGAAGCAAAGAUUUCCCCAGUAUUGAAGAGACAGAUCCCUUUGAGAAGGGCUCAUUAACCAGAUGCCCCCCUCACACACACUGUCAGGCCAGAUCAGUUUACGCUAGACAAGCUCAGGAGAGCCGUGGUUCCAAUUCUGCAGGCAGGGCAGGGAGAGGACAGUCAGGCAGAGAGCUGCAGAAUAAAGCAUUACCCCAGCCUGUAGCUAACCCAAAGGCUUACUCACCCGGGCUUAGCAGCAGUGUGUGCACUGGCUACGUAAGAGACACCAGACAAAGAAAAACAGACGCUAGAAAACAGACUACUAGAAAGACAGAGUGAUUAAAUUCUGACUAUGCAAAACCAUUUCCACACAUUCAGGAGAAGGUGUAUCUAUGGUUCAGCAUAAUAUCCUACACAUAUUACAAAUAACGAGUGUCUGCUCACUUUCUUUCUUCUGAAAGCAGCUGCUGUUUCACAAAGUCGCCUAAAGAAGCUCAGCAACUGGGCAGCAGUUAUUUACUCCUAACCUAGACUGUUUUACCAAAAGGCUUCUUACUCCCAAAUCAGUACAACAGUGUUUGCAGAAUAGGAUCAAUAACAAGCAAACCCGAGCAGAGGGGAUAGGAGGGAGACAAUGAAAGUGCAAGCUGUGCCUUCCCUCAUCCGUCCACCUAAUCAGCACAUCAGUGUCAAUCACCAGCCUGGCUGUGUUCAGCCCCACUGACUUUUCUCACUGGGGAGAUGCAACGCAACCAAAGUGUUACUCUGGAACUAUCACCCUUCUCAAUUCUCAUUUGUUCAACUGGACCAAAACCGAAUAAAAGUUGAAUUAACCAAAAUAUCACCAAAGUAUCCUUUCCAUGUAAGGAAAGUGUGUUGCUCAUCCCUAGUUACCUGCAAAGUACCUGGUUUCUUUUCUCAAACAGGAUUAUGUGCUGCAUUGCUGCAGAUUACAUCACCCUCCUGAACUCCCACAGCAGCACCUCACCUCAUCCAGACACAAGGAGCUUUGGAAGAGAAGCAGCAGCAGCCACAUUAAUCUCAUUCCUCUGCUGGUGAGCAAAGCACAGGGGCACAGGGUACAGCGGCAUAUCUAGUGCUCUCUGGAAGGGAGCCUGCCUGGCUACGCGCACAUUGGAGCUGUUCCCUCAAACUAGGGAGCUAGGAAGGGACUGACAAUAAGAAUCUUCCCUGUCACCUCCUCGAAGCAAUAUGGGAUCCCAGUUUGAGGCCAGCUGUUUCUGGCACACGAGCAUGGGACCUCAUUCUUCCAGCCUCACACACAGACUGCUUAGGAUGGCAUCGCAGGGGGGAAACCACACUUUGGAGGCCCACUGCUAAUCCUAUGCAAGACUUACCGAAAAGGAUCCUUGGGAGCGAAGUAAGCUGGAGCAGACAAGUAACUUCCCAUCUUCAACACUGGAUAAACCGGAUCAGCCACAAACUUGUCCAACUGCCUCUGAACAGCUCUGUUCUGCCAACAUGGCAGCAGCCAGUGCUCAUUUACUCUUGUGCUGAUUCAGAUACUUCACCUCCCUUUGAAGCUGCCCAAGGAAUGCCAGGUCUCCUGGAUGCUCAUUCCUUUUCAGAUUUUUCCUGGCUCCCAUUGCUAUAACCAUCUUCUCCUGUGCUCAGCAGCAGCAGCAGCACCUCGGGAAGGACAGAAUCACUGCUAACCGGGCUAGUGGGACAUGCUGCUGCAGUAGUUCCGCGAGCUCUGCUGCCUGCUAACUACUGGCAAGUUUUCCCUUCUCUGGUUCCACCCAAGGGUGGGAGGGGAGGAGGAGCCAUGGCAGGCAGACAGCAGCGGCUCCAGAGCCUCCACAGGCUCUCGCUCCUUCACAGGGUUGGUGCUCUGACCCAAAGAGGGGCUGCGUACUUAGUGCUGAAAGAGAGCAGCUUUGGCCAAAGAAUACAAGCACACACACGUGAAACUUGUCUUUGCAGCAGCCGCACGUUCUAAUGGAGAAGUCAAAGACAGCAAUGAGCCACAUCUCCAAAUAUAUCAAAUUAACUAUGUACAUUCCUAAACCCUUCACAGUGAGUGGGGUUAUCCUGCCUUUACAGCACGUACAAUCCGUUCACCUUGCUGCAGGAGGUAACUCACAGUGUGCUUCAUCCAAGGAAAAACUGCUUUCUUUCCAAUACUGUUUUAAGAAAUCAUUACAAUCCUUUAACUGAAUCAUCAUCUCCUGAAUGGAAGCUGAUAGGCAUAAAUCAGCACGGAGUACUCUCUCCUGCUCACAGCACAUACAGUUGUAUCAUUGUGCUUGUCUGAAGCCAAGCACAAUCUCCAGUGACCUAAUCAGCUAAAGCUGCUCGCAAGACACGCAAAAAUGCAACAAACAUAUUCCGCUGCACUGAGCCUGCCCAUUUUUGUAGUCAGCAAAGCCUGGCAUGCCUGAACACAGCCUGAAAACCAUGCUCUGUUCCAGAGGCAAGAGCACUCAAAUGUGCUUUUCCUGGAGAUGCUCAUCUCAGCUGGCACACUGUUAAGGGAUGCUUAGGGCUGGAACAAGGCAGUCUUGGCUGCAGACUUGACAGCUGCUGCUCGCUGUUGAAGUGCGCAGAAACCUAGGCAGCUUUUAGCAUUCUUUUUUACUCCUUUUUAAAACUUUUUUUAAAAUUUAAUUUUUAAUAAGAAGCCAUCUUUCUGAAGGGAAAAAAAAAUCUCCAUUUUCCCCAUUCAGUGUAGGUAAGCCUGGCUGUAAAAGUGCAGUGAAGCCUAGUGCUGCAGAGCCCGAUGUGCUUGUCAGUUCCAGCACGGGUCUAAUUCCUUCUGACAUUUCACACAGCUCUACUGGAAGCAGCAACACGGUGAGUCUGUGUCUAGGAAUGCGCUCUGGUCUCCCACAUUCUCUAUAUGUUGCGUGCUGAAAAGGGGCCAGUGCUCGCAAUCCUGCGCUUCUCUGGCUAUCAGCACCUCCCCACCACACACACAACACCUCCCGUGCAGCCCAAGCCCCUCCCGCCUCUAUCACUUACACACAAAAGCCUUUCCCCACAGUUCUGCUGCCAUGGGCUGAAUGCCCUCCGAGGGGCAUUCCACGUGACCUCAUAAAUCCCAACUCUUCAGACAAAACCUUUGAAGAUUUGAUCCACAGAUGUGAUAAGCAGCCAGCUAGUCUGUGAAUGAAGCCAGCAGAUAAAGCCUAACUUCAAAGUAAUAAAAACCACCCAGACAGCUAAGCAACUAGGAAAGGAUUUUAAGACUUCCUUAAAGCCAAAGGACACAUAGUCAAAUGUCUACUUAAACAGGAAACUUCUUAUCAAAAUGAUUUUACUUCUGCAGCAAGACCAGCCAGUAAAUUACUUUCGGCUACACAGAAA